rnacentral:rRNA from 1 species
UACGAGGGGGGGCGAGCGUUGUUCGGAAUCACUGGGCGUAAAGCGCACGUAGGCGGCUUUUUAAGUCAGGGGUGAAAUCCUGGAGCUCAACUCCAGAACUGCCUUUGAUACUGAGAAGCUUGAGUCCGGGAGAGGUGAGUGGAACUGGCGAGUGUAGAGGUGAAAAUUCGUAGAUAUUCGCAAGAACACCAGUGGCGAAGGCGGCUCACUGGCCCGGUACUGACGCUGAGGUGCGAAAGCGUGGGGAGCAAACAGG